rnacentral:rRNA from 1 species
GUGAGUGGUGCUUCCGGGAUUCCAUUGCAAGACAACGAUUCUGGCAGCUGUCUCUUGCGGGGCGACGCGUGUUGCCUAGCCCCACGCACCGCUGUUCCAAUUCCAACCUUAUCUUCUCAGCGACUCAUCCUCGUCUCUUCCCAUGUCUUUUCUUCUCCCCAGCCCUGAUUCCCUUCCUCUUUUCUCUCCCCUUCCGCAGGCUCUCGAUCCAGAUCGGAUAUAGAGGCCACCACCGAGCCUCCUCGAGCGCCUUCUUCCUUCCUCCCACCGGAGCUCUAGCAUCUCCCUGCAACAUCCUCCUUUCUCCUUCUUCCUCUCUUCCUCCCAUGCCUUUCACUUCUUUCUUUUUCCAUUGGCCAUGCAGGGAGCACGCGCAGGGAGCCUCGCCGUUGCUGCCACCACCCGGACAUCGUCGCGCCACCGCCACCUCCGAGUUAACAGGCCGCCGCCGCUCGUCCUCCCAUGCGACCGGCACUGGGCCGCACUGCGCGCGGGCAAACCGGCCCCUGCCGGUGGAAGUGUGGGUACCGCGAGGGGAAGCAUCCGGUGCAACACGACGGUGACUGAGAUGUUGCUCGGGCUAUACGUGACGGCGACCGAGACUCCUUCGCGUUCGUUCCUUAUUAUCCAAUCUGCAUCUCAGCUUUCUUCCUCACUGAAGAUGUUUCAUGGGAAUCAUGCUGAUUAUUUUGUAUUCGGAUUUCCUCAUGGAAGAAUAAGAUGCUGCUGAUUGUAACCUCCUAUAAUUGGAGAAUUUAUUUAUUCAUUUGCUCCCUCACUUGCGGGAUUAUUUUCUUUGUUCUGUUCCCACCCUCUGCUUCGCAGGUGCCUGCAGUAGCGCGUCCAUCAUCUCCUCGGCGCGACGCCUGGCCGCACCAGCUCCACGCCAAUCACCUGGGCGUCCACUCCUCCGCACCAGCUCCAUGCCAAUCACCUCGGCCGUCCACUCCUCGCACACAACCGACGGCACCAACCGCGGCAGGUCCGGCGUGCCGCCGUCGCCAUCCCGCAGCGACAUGUGCGUCAGGGAGCGGUAGCCGCCGGCGCCCGCAAUACGUCCUCAACCCACGGCGGUCGUCCUUGCCAUCCGAGGCGCGUGCUGCUGCUCUGCUGGACGGCGACCAACCUCUGGCCGUUCCCCUCUGCACUCCACCUCAUUCAGCAGCGCCGCAUUGGUCCGUUGAAGCCGAGGGCAGGGGAGAUGGAUAGAGUAAAGGGAGCCGGCUGCGGCUGGCUCCUAGGCUCGAGCGGCGCGGAUGCCCGCCGCGACGCAUCCCCUUCGUUGGCUUCUGUGGCGUGAACGUCGUAGGCAAGUGGCGGCGCGUGCCCGGCGGUGGAGGCAGGCACUGGAUUAGUGGCGGUGGUGGCAGGGGGUUUUCUGCAAAAAGAAAAAACGAAACGUUAUCCAUCAGUAGCAUACUUUAAGUAGGAGUGCGGAUUAAUUUCUCAGAAACUGGGGGACUUUUUUGCAAAAAGGCCGAUGACGGACGACCAGAAACCUAAUUUGCUUUAUU